rnacentral:rRNA from 1 species
AUUGAACGCUGGCGGCAUGCUUUACACAUGCAAGUCGAACGGCAGCGCGGGGCAACCUGGCGGCGAGUGGCGAACGGGUGAGUAAUAUAUCGGAACGUACCCAGAAGUGGGGGAUAACGUAGCGAAAGUUACGCUAAUACCGCAUACGAUCUACGGAUGAAAGUGGGGGACCUUCGGGCCUCAUGCUUUUGGAGCGGCCGAUAUCUGAUUAGCUAGUUGGUGAGGUAAAGGCUCACCAAGGCGACGAUCAGUAGCUGGUCUGAGAGGACGACCAGCCACACUGGGACUGAGACACGGCCCAGACUCCUACGGGAGGCAGCAGUGGGGAAUUUUGGACAAUGGGGGCAACCCUGAUCCAGCAAUGCCGCGUGAGUGAUGAAGGCCCUAGGGUUGUAAAGCUCUUUUGUGCGGGAAGAUAAUGACGGUACCGCAAGAAUAAGCCCCGGCUAGCUUCGUGCCAGCAGCCGCG